UACGUAGGGGGCAAGCGUUGUCCGGAAUUAUUGGGCGUAAAGAGCGCGUAGGCGGUCCGAUAAGUCGGCUGUGAAAGUCAAGGGCUCAACCCUUGAAAGCCGGCCGAUACUGUCGGACUAGAGUCCGGAAGAGGCGAGUGGAAUUCCCGGUGUAGCGGUGAAAUGCGUAGAUAUCUGGAAGAACACCAGUGGCGAAGGCGGUCAACUGGCCCGUAACUGACGCUGAGGCACGAAAGCGUGGGGAGCGAACAGG
rnacentral:rRNA from 1 species